GAUGAACGCUGGCGGCGUGCCUAAUACAUGCAAGUCGAGCGAACAGAUGAGGAGCUUGCUCCUCUGACGUUAGCGGCGGACGGGUGAGUAACACGUGGAUAACCUACCUAUAAGACUGGGAUAACUUCGGGAAACCGGAGCUAAUACCGGAUAAUAUAUUGAACCGCAUGGUUCAAUAGUGAAAGAUGGCUUUGCUGUCACUUAUAGAUGGAUCCGCGCCGCAUUAGCUAGUUGGUAAGGUAACGGCUUACCAAGGCAACGAUGCGUAGCCGACCUGAGAGGGUGAUCGGCCACACUGGAACUGAGACACGGUCCAGACUCCUACGGGAGGCAGCAGUAGGGAAUCUUCCGCAAUGGGCGAAAGCCUGACGGAGCAACGCCGCGUGAGUGAUGAAGGUCUUCGGAUCGUAAAACUCUGUUAUUAGGGAAGAACAAAUGUGUAAGUAACUAUGCACGUCUUGACGGUACCUAAUCAGAAAGCCACGGCUAACUACGUG
rnacentral:rRNA from 1 species